rnacentral:rRNA from 1 species
AGUGAACGCUGGCGGUAGGCCUAACACAUGCAAGUCGAACGGCAGCACAGUAAGAGCUUGCUCUUACGGGUGGCGAGUGGCGGACGGGUGAGGAAUACAUCGGAAUCUACUUUUUCGUGGGGGAUAACGUAGGGAAACUUACGCUAAUACCGCAUACGACCUACGGGUGAAAGCAGGGGAUCUUCGGACCUUGCGCGAUUGAAUGAGCCGAUAUCGGAUUAGCUAGUUGGCGGGGUAAAGGCCCACCAAGGCGACGAUCCGUAGCUGGUCUGAGAGGAUGAUCAGCCACACUGGAACUGAGACACGGUCCAGACUCCUACGGGAGGCAGCAGUGGGGAAUAUUGGACAAUGGGCGCAAGCCUGAUCCAGCCAUACCGCGUGGGUGAAGAAGGCCUUCGGGUUGUAAAGCCCUUUUGUUGGGAAAGAAAAGCAGCAGGUUAAUACCCCGCUGUUCUGACGGUGCCCAAAGAAUAAGCACCGGCUAACUUCGUG